ensembl:misc_RNA Metazoa_SRP Metazoan signal recognition particle RNA
GCUGGGUGCGGUGGCAGGCACCUGUAAUCCCAGCUACUCGGGAGGCUGAGGCAGGAGAAUUGCUUGAACCCGGGAGGCAGAGUUUGCAGUGAGCCGAGAUCGCACCACUGCACUCUAGCCUGGGUGACAGAGCAAGACUCUGCCUCAA